GAUGAAGAACGUAGCGAAAUGCGAUAAGUAAUGUGAAUUGCAGAAUUCAGUGAAUCAUCGAAUCUUUGAACGCACAUUGCGCCCGCCAGUAUUCUGGCGGGCAUGCCUGUUCGAGCGUCAUUUCAACCCUCAGGCCCCCAGUGCCUGGUGUUGGGGAUCGGCCCAGCCUUCCUGUAAGGCCGCCGGCCCCGAAAUCUAGUGGCGGUCUCGCUGUAGUCCUCCACUGCGUAGUAGCACAACCUCGCAGUUGGAACGCGGCGGUGGCCAUGCCGUUAAACACCCCACUUCUGAAAGUUGACCUCGGAUCAGGUAGGAAUACCCGCUGAACUUAAGCAUAUCAAUAAGCGGAGGA
rnacentral:misc_RNA from 1 species